UACGAAGGGAGCUAGCGUUGUUCGGAAUCACUGGGCGUAAAGCGCACGUAGGCGGAUUUGUAAGUCAGGGGUGAAAUCCCGGGGCUCAACCUCGGAACUGCCCUUGAUACUGCAAAUCUCGAGUCCGAUAGAGGUGGGUGGAAUUCCUAGUGUAGAGGUGAAAUUCGUAGAUAUUAGGAAGAACACCGGUGGCGAAGGCGGCCCACUGGAUCGGUACUGACGCUGAGGUGCGAAAGCGUGGGGAGCAAACAGG
rnacentral:rRNA from 1 species